AGAAUCAACGCUGGCGGCGUGCCUAACGCAUGCAAGUCGAACGAGAAAGGGACUUCGGUCCUGAGUACAGUGGCGCACGGGUGAGUAACACGUGACUAACCUACCCUGGAGUGGGGAAUAACUGAGGGAAACCUUAGCUAAUACCGCAUAAUACCUACGGGUCAAAGGAGCAAUUCGCUUCAGGAGGGGGUCGCGGCCGAUUAGCUAGUUGGCGGGGUAAUGGCCCACCAAGGCAAUGAUCGGUA
rnacentral:rRNA from 1 species